UAGGCCUCUUCAGUUAUGUCCAUUUGCUGU
rnacentral:piRNA from 1 species